rnacentral:ncRNA from 1 species
UUAAAUAAAUUUUGUGAGUUAUAUAAUAUGUUUUAUUCUAGUAUUCGAAUUUUCUUGUUUAUUUUUUUUACAUACACAUUUUUAGUAAUUUAGAUAAUUAUAUGUAGUAAAUAUAUUUAGUUGAUUAAAUAGCUUUAGAUUUAGAAAUUUAAAUUUAAAAUUGACCUAUUUUGUGCCAGCCGUUGCGGUUAAACAAUUAAUUUUAAGGAAAUUUAAUGAAUUAAUAAUUAUAGAUUAGUAAAAGUAAAAUGAUGAAAUUUGGGGGUAAAAUUUCAAUUCAUUUAAUUUAUUUGUUUAUAAUAAUUAUGAAAUUAAUAUAAAGACCAGGAUUAGAUACCCUGUUAUUUUAAUGUAAAAUUGUUGGAGUAGUUGAAGUUAUGGUCUUGAAACUUAAAGGAUUUGGCGGUAUUUUAUCUUAUUAGAGGAACCUGUUUAUUAAUCGAUAAUCCACGAUUUUAUUCACUCUUAUUUAUAUUACUUGUAUACCGUUGUCAUGAGUAUACUUAGAAGUUUGAUUUUCUUUUAAUUUUAUUAAUUUUAUGUUAGAUCAAGGUGCAGUGUUUAAGAGAUUUUAAUGGGUUACUAUGCAAAUAAUGAAUGGAUGUUUAAUUAUGUUAAUUGCUUGAAAUAGGAUUUAAAAGUAAAUUUGUUAAAAAAGAUAAUAUGAAUUUAGAUUCUAAAAUAUGUACACAUUGCCCGUCACUCUUGCCUAAAGUAAGAUAAGUCGUAACAUAGUAGAUGUACCGGAAGGUGUUUCUAGAAAUA